rnacentral:piRNA from 1 species
UAGAGAAGGACAUAGUCAGUGCAUGG